GUGAACGCUGGCGGUAGGCCUAACACCUGCAAGUCGAACGGCAGCACAGUAAGAGCUUGCUCUUACGGGUGGCGAGUGGCGGACGGGUGAGGAAUACAUCGGAAUCUACUUUUUCGUAGGGGAUAACGUAGGGAAACUUACGCUAAUACCGCAUACGACCUACGGGUGAAAGCAGGGGAUCUUCGGACCUUGCGCGAUUGAAUGAGCCGAUGUCGGAUUAGCUAGUUGGCGGGGUAAAGGCCCACCAAGGCGACGAUCCGUAGCUGGUCUGAGAGGAUGAUCAGCCACACUGGAACUGAGACACGGUCCAGACUCCUACGGGAGGCAGCAGUGGGGAAUAUUGGACAAUGGGCGCAAGCCUGAUCCAGCCAUACCGCGUGGGUGAAGAAGGCCUUCGGGUUGUAAAGCCCUUUUGUUGGGAAAGAAAAGCAGCAGGUUAAUACCCCGCUGUCCUGACGGUACCCAAAGAAUAAGCACCGGCUAACUUCGUG
rnacentral:rRNA from 1 species